UUGUCUGUCUGUGCACACACAUACAAAUUGGACAUUUGUGCACAACACUUAGGAUAAUAGAUGUUGUGCAGAAGAGCUAGUCAGCCUGGAUAAGAUCACAAGAGGAAUGAUUCAGGAACACAAGAGCCAGAAACACUUUAAGCGGUCAAGAGCAUCUCAACUGAAGAACACUUAAAUAACAUCAACAAGCGUGUGGGACAGGAAGUGAUUGUGUACUGUAUCACGAUAUAUCAAGCCUCACUGCUUCAGGUCGUUCUUCUUCAUCUACCAGCUCUCCCUCACCGGAUAAGUCCCUAGGAAAGGCUCUAUAUCUACUUUAAUCUCAAAAUACAGUGACAAUGCAGACCACAAACGAACUGAUGUACAACACCACCACAGAUGGGUGGCUCGAGGCCCUCAACACUUCUUUAGCGACGACUAAUUUCCCUGCAACUGGUGCAGCGGAGAUCAGCUGUUUUAUCAAUGCCCAGCUAGCUUUUAUAGCAACAGCAAUUGCUGGUGGCCUCAUCCUGAUCCUUCUAACCUCCACCAUAGUGUUGGCAUGUACCGUCUCAAGCCUGAAACGCCACCAGCGGGCCCCUCGUCCAUCCCGAAGCAAUGCAGACCUGGUGAGUGGAACGGGCUACUGGGGUAACGAGAGAAGAGAGGGCGGCAUUGUGGGUCCAUGCGAAACCAGUGUUCUAUUGGAGGAGGUAAAGACAGACGGCGAGGAGGAAGAGAUCAAUGAUGGCGCGGCAGGGCCGAGCCAAUACAUCACCACUUCUAACGCAGCCGGUGACUCCGAGAGCAUCCCGACAGCCAUGCAGAGCUCAACCUCCAGGGAUUCCUGCAUAGAUCCCAUAAGUUUGGAGAAUAUGCCUCUGAUGGUGUAAAGUACAAGAGCUUUUUUGUGUGCUAGGCUCUGAUGUCAGGCAUUUUACUUCUCUUUUUUUUUUUUA